rnacentral:misc_RNA from 1 species
GUUCCAGUAUUAAAGCCAUAGUCGAAAACCUGAGACAACAUUGUUGAACAGGUCAUGGGUUUCAUCUUCUAUCGGGUGACAUGGCAUUUCAUUCCACAUUGUGGAACUUGGUUGUUACAGUACUUGAAUCCAAUUUUGAAAGGCUUGAAAAUUGGAAAUAGAGGUCUUUCCUUGCAAUUCUUUCCACAGGAUUAUUUGAAGCUAAAAGCAGGAUGUUAUGCCUUGUACUUAUUGGAGUUCAGCUAUGGAAGGUCUGAUUGAAGGAUUGAGUGUUUGUUCAGCGACAAAAUAGAGAUAAAAAUUAGAGAAAGGGAGGGGAAGAAAAAAAAAAGGCAGUUGAGAAAAAAAGAAGAAGGAAGAAGAUUGAGAGAACUUUCUGUAUAAUCCAGAUUAAAAUUCGCAAUUGAUUUAUAAUUACAUCUCACUUGCUUUAUAUUCCAGCUUAAUCAACCUUUUUCUCUUAACAACUUGACAAGUAACUCAGCUGACAUCACAAACUAACAACUGUCAGAACCGUUACUUUACAUCCUUGACUUCUCUAACUGCCAGUGUUCUCCACAUUCUCAACCUUCCCCACAUUCCAAGUGUUCCUCACACUUAAUUAGAAAAAGAACGUGCAAGUCUUUCAACACUAGGCUAUUAUAGUACCUGUUAUUCAUUUCUUGCAGGCUCAAGUGUGCUUACUCCGACAUUGAAGCUAACUAGUCUAAUUCCACCAAUUAUACAAGUAAACAACACGAUCAGUUUCUAAUUUCAUGUUACUAUUCCGUUAUGCUCUUAGCAUUACUUAACGCAAAAUGAACAAAAUAACUAAAUUAAUUAAAAUUUGCAAUUCCAUGAACAAUUAACAAAGGGCCAAUAAAAAAAAAAAAAAAGGGAAAAACGCAUGCUUUUGCAAAUAUGCAUUUGGGAAUAAGCAGUUUCACUUCUGUAGAAGGGAGCAAUAACAGUUGUUCACUUAAAAUGUUUACCUAGAAGCUUAAUUCAUAUUUCAUCAACAUUAUUACUGGAUUAUCAAGUGUCAUAAACAGUCACUAAUAAUUUAUCAAAAAAAAAAAAAACUAUAUCAAUAACAACAAUUAACAACAAAAGAUUCCUUUUUAAAUCCACUAGUAGCAUUGGAACAAUGCAAUGCACUGCAUGCUCCAACUUCUAUAGACAGGAAUGACAACAGCAAUCUGAAAACCAUCUACCAAACUACUAGUAAGGAAAGAACAUAUGGUUUAAAGCAAAAUAAAUACCCUUUACAUCAAAGAAUUGAUGAGAAGAAUCAAGAACUUGCUCUUACCCCAUACAAUUCCCUCAAGGUCUCAAUUGCGGCCUGGAAACCAGUCCUCAAAGGCGAAACUGAGAUUGCUCGCAAGUGUUGUGCAUUACCGUUCUUGGGUUUUGACAGUGUCAUAUUAAACAUCUCCCCUUCUAGAAUU